UUUAAGUACAACCAUAAGUUUUCGUACUCAACUUUAAUCAUCAUUCUUAUUUGAAAAUUUUUUAUAAUUAGUAUUUAUGUUGUUAUGAGAUGAUAAAACAUGAAUAGUACUUUACUCGUGACUUAUGUUUUUAAUUUUUUUUAAAAAAAAAUUCAAAUAACGGACGAUUAAAGUUGAGCACGAAAAACCAUGACUGUACUUAAA
rfam:Oryza glumipatula chromosome 2, whole genome shotgun sequence.